AUUGAACGCUGGCGGCAGGCCUAACACAUGCAAGUCGAGCGAGCGGCGGACGGGUGAGUAAUGUCUGGGAAACUGCCUGAUGGAGGGGGAUAACUACUGGAAACGGUAGCUAAUACCGCAUACCAUCAGAUGUGCCCAGAUGGGAUGAGCUAGUAGGUGGGGUAACGGCGCACCUAGGCGACGAUCCCUAGCUGGUCUGAGAGGAUGACCAGCCACAGUGGAACUGAGGCAGGGUCCAGGUGCCAGCGGGAGGCAGUGUUGGGGAGUAUUGCACAAUGGGCGCAAGCCUGAUGCAGCCAUGCAGCGUGUGGGAAGAAGGCCUUGGGUUUGUAGAGCACUUUCAGCGGGGAGGCGUUACCCGCAGAAGAAGCACCAGCUGACUCCGUGCCAGCAGCCGCGGUAAUAC
rnacentral:rRNA from 1 species